UUCUUCACCGGGAGCGGGUUUUGUGGGGUGACGCUUCUGUCCUUGGGCCACCUGAGCUCGCCUCAGCCCCGUCACAGAUCCCACGUCUCAGGGAGACGGGGGAGAGGCACACACCCCCCCACCUUCCCUCAGUUCCUCCAGCACAGGCUCCCCAAGAGUAAGACGUGUGGCUUUCCCCCCAGGAGCCCUCCUCUGUCGGCAGCUGUGGGCUGGGACCCGGCCCCGAGUCUAGGACGUCUGUCCAUCACCUGGUGGCCCAAGCACGGGCUCCCCAUCACUAGCUGACCCCACGGCCCCGCCCCAGGCCGCGCUGUGUUGGGGUCAUGCCAUUGUGGCUUCGGAGAGGCGGGGGAGAGACGGUGUGUGCUUGUGGGCCCGCUGACCUGCGUCCCGGCCCAGCCCCGUGACACCAGCAGCUCCCGGUGGCUCCCGGCAAAGCUGCUUAUUGGAUUAGUGGCCCCGCGGGCCCCUGCAGCAGGUGGGGGGAGGCUGGCAUUUAGGGAGUCCUGUUUUCGUCUGGGCUGCUCUGUGAGGCCUGCAGGGGCCUGGGGCGGGGGGAAGGCGGCGCCUGGAAGUGUGUGUUCCACUUGGGGCUGAGCAGAUGGUCCUGGUGGCCCCGGCCCGUCGGACACGGGCGCCAUAGUCUGGACGUAAUCCCUCUUCCUUAUCCGCCGGCCAGGGGCUGACGCUGCUCAGGCCGCUGGUCUCCUUCUGUCGGACUUUCACGGGCACAGGCUUCCAGGGGUCCGAAGAUGCUGUCCAGCUACUCAGCCUGCCUUUUCUCGGGCGUGUGCACGGCCCUGGUCGCCGUGGCCCUGGCCUAUUACUUCUACUGGACGGCCGUUCUCGCUGAAGGACCCUGCACUCGCUACUGAGCGGCGACCAUGGGCCCGCUCGCCUACCUGAAGACGCAGUUCGCGGUGCACCUCCUCAUCGGGUUCGUGUUCGUGGUGAGCGGGCUGCUCAUCAACUCCGUCCAGCUGUGCACGCUGGUCCUCUGGCCCCUGAGCAAGCAGCUGUACCGCCGGCUGAACUGCCGCCUCGCCUACUCCCUGUGGAGCCAGUUGGUCAUGCUUCUGGAGUGGUGGUCCUGCACGGAGUGCACGCUCUUCACUGACCAGGCCACAGUGGACCGUUUCGGCAAGGAGCACGUGGUCGUCAUCCUCAACCACAACUUCGAAAUCGACUUCCUCUGUGGGUGGACCAUGUGCGAGCGGUUUGGCGUGCUGGGGAGUUCCAAAGUCCUGGCGAAGAGGGAGCUGCUGUACGUCCCCCUCAUCGGCUGGACGUGGUACUUCCUGGAGAUCGUGUUCUGCAAGCGGAGGUGGGAGGAAGACCGGGACACCGUCAUCCGGGGGCUGGAGCGCUUGGCGGACUACCCUGAGUACAUGUGGUUCCUCCUGUACUGCGAGGGCACGCGCUUCACGGAGAAGAAGCACCGCGUCAGCAUGGAGGUGGCCGCCUCCAAGGGGCUGCCCGCCCUCAAGUACCACCUGCUGCCUCGAACCAAGGGCUUCACCACGGCGGUCCAGUGCCUCCGGGGGACAGUCGCAGCCGUGUAUGACGUCACGCUGAAUUUCCGCGGAAACAAGAACCCGUCUUUGCUGGGGAUCCUCUACGGGAAGAAGUACGAGGCAGACAUGUGCGUGAGGAGUAACUUUGUGAAUGUGAAGAGUAAGCCGGGAGGCUUUUUCCUUCUGAAGUUUGCGGCAGACUGGCUCGAAUGGAAGACACUCUCAGUUCUGACUAUUUCCAAAGAACGAACCAUUAAGACCCAAACUCCUGCUGCAGCCCACAAAUGCCCGCCCUCCACAGUGGGAACGGGGCACGAUCUGCUCAGGAGAACCCCUCGUGAGAGUCGCUGGCUUUGCCUCGAAGGAGAUUCCCUCUGGAAGAGAUCCCACUGGAUGAAAAGGAAGCAGCUCAGUGGCUCCACAAACUGUACCAGGAGAAGGACGCGUUGCAGGAGAUGUAUAACCAGAAGGGCGUGUUUCCAGGAGAGCAGUUCAAACCUGCCCGAAGGCCGUGGACGCUUCUGAAUUUCCUCUUCUGGGCCACGGUCCUGCUGUCUCCUCUUUUCAGCUGCGUCUUCGGCGUCUUUGCGAGCGGUUCCCCCCUCCUGAUCCUGACGUUCCUGGGGUUUGUGGGGGCAGCUUCCUUUGGAGUCCGCCGGCUAAUAGGAGUAACUGAAAUAGAAAAAGGCUCUAGCUACGGAAACCAAGAAUUUAAGAAAAAGGAGUGACUCCUGGCUGUGGUUGCGCACACGUAACCCGACGGCGGUGUCCAGUUAACUCAAAAACAGAACCACACACCCAGGUCGGAGGAAAAGACACUUAGAAACUAUUUUUCUUAUUAACUGGUGACUAAUCUCAACCAAUAAACCUUGAGCCAAGAGCAAAGCCGUCGGAAGGCCUGCGGACGAAGACGCCAGCGGCACCCCGGGCGGGGUCCCAGGGUCCCACGAGCCAGGCUCCGAGGGCGCCGUGCGUGCGGGCCCACCGCUGCGGGGGGCCGGGUCCCACCCCACCGCGACCUCGCGAGAAUUCUGCCUGCCAGAGGGAGACUUCGGCCGCUUUCUCUUCUUAAACUUAGAUCCAUUUUUGGUUUUUACCAGUUAUUUUGGGAACUCCCCCUGCCCCCCCCCCGCCUCCUCCCCUGACCCCAGCAAACCCUCCCCGGCCCUCCCGGGAACGAGGACAUGUCAGCCCCCAGGCCCACAAAGCACCUGCCCGUCCUGUCUUCACACACGGGUGUUCUCGGGUGACCAGGGCGGGCCGAGCGCCAGGUGGCCGGGCAGGUGCCCCUGAGCUGGCGGUGGGGACGCCCCACCCCGGCUGCCUGGCUCCUCCCUGAGCCUGUGUGGAAGCACUUUACAUCCGUUUCUAAAGUGAUCCGCCCCCUGAGACCUCUGUCCCUCUUUUUCCCUGCUCAGUCCUCGGCCCCUCUACUGGGCCGCACCCCUGCCGCCAGCCCCGGGGACAGCUGCCCUGCAGCCCACGGGCUUCUUGGAUGUUGGUUUCAAAGAACGCCCCCACCGGGCCUCCUCUCUUCUGGAGGCGGUUGGAGACUGUUCCCUGGGAGCUCGUCGGCUCCUCGGGGUUUUAUUUUUACUGUUGGUCUGUUCAUGGCUCUCGUCUCCCUCAGAAGUAGAGGUGGUGGCCCCCCCUCCCUUCCCCGAGCAGGUGCCUGGGUGCCCGGGGCGGGGGUGGGCACCUCCUUGCGCAGGCUUCACCGGGGAGCCUGGGAGCACUGCCCCGCCUCAGCUCCCCCUGCUGGGGGGUGUCUGCCAGGGUCCCGACUUCGCGGCGAGCCCUGGGCGUGGGGCGCCCCAGCAGGCCUCUCCCCAGGCUCGGCUCCAGCAUCCCGCUGUCCACCCGCUUGCAUCAGCCUUCUUUCUUAAACCUCCCGCGUGCUGUUUUCAACUCACACCCCCCUCGCCUUUUUUUUUUUCCCCCUCUUUUUAGCCAAGGAAGGAAAAGUAACGGGUGUUAGCCCUGGUGCACUGGAGCCAGCGUGCCGAAUAGAGGCAGGUUGGAUUUUCUAGGAGAAAAGGUGGAGGAAAGAGGCAUGGAGAAAAUACAGACUACAUUGGACAGGUGCCUCUGCAUCAGCCCUAAGUGUGUAUUCUGGGAGGCUCUCUGGGGGCGGCACGCGGUCUCUAGGACGAGGACGCUGCUGGGGUCUGUGUGAGAGCACCCCGCCCUCCCCCCGCUGCAGGGGGGGCCACCUCGGGUUAGUCUGCUCUCCUGUGGCAUGCUGCUCCCGGCUUCCGUGUUUGUGUCCUGUGCUAACUCACUAACACCUAAAGCAUCUUGAGAACGGUGGGAGGGCACCCCUGCGUGCAUGCGGGCCCUAGAAGGCCCAGGUUUAGGUCUCGUACCUUGUAAUUCGUGGUUCUCCUUGGCCAGAGAAGUUCUCUCCGCCUGAAAUGACUACGUACCGGGCACCCUCCUCCCGGAGCCACUGGAGGGGCCGUGCGGGGUCCGGGUACGAUGGAGGCUGAGGGCGGGCGUAGGUCUUAAGUCUCGGUGAUUCCCUUCUGAUCUAACACAGAUGAGCCCGUGCAUUUGGUGCCCAGACCUUGAGAGCAAGCAAACCUCACCAUGGACGUUUGGGGGGGGUUGUUUUUUGUUUUUCUGUUUUUUGUUUCUUUUUGGAGGGGGAAUGGAUUUUGCUUUACGUCCGCUUUAGAAGGAGAGGGAGAGGGGGCUCCUUUAAUUUUCAAAAUUAAUAAAUCGCAGAAUAGUG